rnacentral:rRNA from 1 species
UACGUAGGGGGCAAGCGUUGUCCGGAUUUAUUGGGCGUAAAGAGCGUGUAGGCGGCCAUACAGGUCAGCUGUGAAAACUCGAGGCUCAACCUCGAGACGUCGGUUGAAACCGUAUGGCUAGAGUCCGGAAGAGGAGAGUGGAAUUCCCGGUGUAGCGGUGAAAUGCGCAGAUAUCGGGAAGAACACCCGUGGCGAAGGCGGCUCUCUGGGACGGUGCUGACGCUGAGACGCGAAAGCGUGGGGAGCGAACAGG